UGAUAUCACUGCCUGUAGUCUAGUGUUUCCUUUUGUUUCCUCUGUUUCCCUGCCCUUUUGUCUCUUGUGUGUUUUCCCCUGGUUUGUCUAGUUUGUCAGUGUGUUGGGAGGUGUGGCCUUCCUCCUCCCCCUCCUCCUGGGCAGGCACUGCCGGAGCAACUGACAGCAGUCAAGCAAUCAACCAAUCAUCACACACACCUGCAGUAUAUCUACCCCGGUCUUCCUGCCACUCAUCGCCAGAUCGUUCCGUCACCCACAGUGGUCUGUUCACCUGCCAGCUGUGGCUGCUUCCAACCUGCCUGCUCACUCCUGCACUCGGCUCCUCCUCAACCUGGAACCCUGUUGUAAAUAAUAAAUAUUUUUGUUCUUCCUUUAAAA